CCUACGGGCGGCAGCAGUGGGGAAUAUUGGACAAUGGGCGAAAGCCUGAUCCAGCCAUGCCGCGUGUGUGAAGAAGGCCUUCGGGUUGUAAAGCACUUUCAGCGGGGAAGAAAGCCUUGGGGCUAAUACCCUCGAGGAAGGACAUCACCCACAGAAGAAGCACCGGCUAACUCCGUGCCAGCAGCCGCGGUAAUACGGAGGGUGCGAGCGUUAAUCGGAAUUACUGGGCGUAAAGCGCGCGUAGGCGGUCUGAUAAGCCGGUUGUGAAAGCCCCGGGCUCAACCUGGGAACGGCAUCCGGAACUGUCAGGCUAGAGUGCAGGAGAGGAAAGUAGAAUUCCCGGUGUAGCGGUGAAAUGCGUAGAGAUCGGGAGGAAUACCAGUGGCGAAGGCGGCCUUCUGGACUGACACUGACGCUGAGGUGCGAAAGCGUGGGUAGCAAACAGGAUUAGAUACCCCAGUAGUC
rnacentral:rRNA from 1 species